UGAUGGUGAUGAGUAUAAUUUCUUAGCAUGAUUUUGAAUCUCUUCCAAGCUUGGUAGAGAUUUUCUCCAUCUUUCUGUCUGAAACUUAAGAUCUCACUCCUCAAUCA